CAGCAGCCGCGGUAAUACCAGCAGCCCAAGUGGUGGUCGCGUUUAUUGGGCCUAAAGCGCUCGUAGCCUGGCCGGUAAGUUCCCCGUGAAAUCGGGUCGCCCAACGAUUCGGCUUGCGGGGAAUACUGUCGGUCUUGGGGCCGGGAGACGCCGAGGGUACUCCGGGGGUAGCGGUGAAAUGCUGUAAUCCUCGGGGGACUACCAGUGGCGAAGGCGCUCGGCGAUAACGGGCCUGACGGUGAGGGGCGAAAGCUGGGGGCGCGAACGGGAUUAGAUACCCCUGUAGUCCCUGUCUCUUAUA
rnacentral:rRNA from 1 species